rnacentral:tRNA from 1 species
GGCCACGUGGCGGAAUUGGUAGACGUGCUACUUUGAGGGGGUAGUGUCCUUAGGACGUGCUGGUUCGACUCCAGUCGUGGUCA